rnacentral:rRNA from 1 species
GCCUACGGCCAUGCCACCCUGAACAAGCUUGAUCUCGUCUGAUCUCAGAAGCUAAGCAGAGUUGGGCCUGGUUAGUACUUGGAUAGGAGACCACCUAGGAAGACCAGGUGCUGUAGGCA